UAGUCUGUUACAUAUACUCUGAUGCCCUGAAGAAUAGGUAGGUUGUCCUCUAGGGAAGGGUGGGGUCCCCGGAGCUAGGAAUACCCAAGAUGACCACUUAGAAGGGGUGUUUUGCCUGCCAGAAAAGUUGGACCGUUCUGAAAACCCAGAGUCAGAUUUGUUUUUGGGGAGGCAGCAAAGGGUAAUUGCUGUUUUAGGCUUGACUGCCUUUGACUCCUUGCACUAAGUUUUGGGGGGUAAGCUGAAUUUCCAUCUUGGCUCUACCUGGUCUCUCCUGACCAGUCUGCAGCAGACACUGGCUGGCCAGGGCUGUCCUUGGGGCAGGGGAAGACCUACUUUGGUCCCUGAGACUCUGGCCAGCAGCUGAUGGCCAGGGCCUGAGAGCAAAAAAGUGGGAAGGGGAAAAGCAGCCCUUUCUGGGAUUGGAGUGAACCUGGGCGUUUUGUCCCGUAAGGAUGGAGUGAUAGAGUGUGUGCAUGUGGGGUGGUGGGUGUGUUUAUGGUGGGUGGUGAUGGUUGUGGCUGUGGCAUGUGAUCUCCCUAGGACUAAAAGCAAAAAAGACAUUUAAUUGUUCACCUUGAGCUCACUGCCUGCAGGCAUAGAUGAGCAUGUGACAGACAUCCUUCUAAUUCCCUGACUCAUGAUCACGUUGGUUGGUUCAGAGGGGACUAAGCAUACCUACAAGCCUGCCCCAAAUUUCCUCAACUGGAGUCAGUCCCUUGAGUGAUAUACCAAAGGUAGAGAGAGGCACUGACUUUGGGAGACCCUGGAGGCUGGGGGUUGGCUGUGAAGGCAAGGGGCUCCCUAUGGCCUGGGGAAGGAAGCUCUCUGUCCCCAAGCCUUGACCCUUAAUUUCACUUACGUGUCUCCGUGGGAGGCCCACACAGGCUGGGAUUUAGGCCACCCAGACCCAUGCAGGCCACAAGAGCCUGAUUUUCUACCAUCUAGAUCUUAAAAGGUAGAGGAGGUAAGUCUGAAGUUACUUUGGAAAGGAAAUAGCAGAACCCUUUCAAGCCCAUUCUUCUAGCAGGAUAUCAGAAGAUGAAGAGGCCUUGGCGGCAGCAGGUGUAAGCCCGAGCUGGUACAGUUCUCCGUCUCUGAGCCCCGCAGCAGGGAGGACAGGAGCCAUGCAGAGAGAGCUGGAGGGGUGACUAUGAGGAUCAAGUGAACCAUUAGCAAUGACAGUUCUUCACAACUACCAGGUGUCCCUGUUCCCUGAGACACAGUAUUAAAAUUAAGCCAAUAAAUAAUCCUACAAUGGCCUCUAAGAGUUCAAGUCAAAGGAAGAGUCUUACAUCUCUCACUUUAAAUAAAAAGCUAGAAAUGAUUCAGCUUAGUGAGGAAGGCAUGGCAAAAAGCCAAGACAGGUCAAAAGCUAGGCCUCUUAUGCCAAAUAAUUAGGAAGUUGUGAAUGCAAAGGAAAAGUUCUUGAAUGAAAUAAAAAAUGCUACUCCAGCGAACACAUGAAUGAUAAGAAAGUGAAACAGCAUUAUUGCUGAUAGGGAGAAAGUUUAUUGGCCUGGAGAGAAAAUUAAGCCAGCCAUAUUUCUCUUAAACCAAAAUCUAAUCCAGAACAAGGCUCUAACUUCUUCAAUUCUGUAAACUCUGAGAGGUGAAAAAGCUGCAGAAGAAAAGUUUGAAGCCAGCAGGGGUUAGUUCAUGAGGUUUAAGGAAAGAAGCUGUCUCCAUAAAAUGAAAGUGCAAGGUGCAGAAGCAAGUGCCGAUAUAGAAUCUGUAGCAAGUUUAUCUAGAAGAUCUAGCUAAGAUAAUUUGUGAAGGUGGCUACAGUAAACAAAUGAUUUUCAGUGUAGAUGAAACAGUGUUCUAUUGGGAGAAAAUGCCAUCUAACACUUUCAUAGCUAGAGAGGAGAAGUCAAUGCCUGGCUUCCAAGCUUCCAAGGACAGGCUGGCUCUCUUGUUAGGGGCAAAUAGAGCUGGUGACUUUAAGAUGAAGCCAGUGCUCAUUUGUCCUUCUGAAAACCCUAAGGCCCUUAAGAAUUAUGCUAAAUCUACUCUGCCUGUGUUCUAUAAAUGGAACAAUAAAGCCUGGAUGACAGCACAUCUAUUUUCAACAUGGUUUACUGAAUAUUUUAAGCCCACUUUAUUGAGAUCUACUGCUCAAAAAAAGAAAGAUUCCUUUCAAAAUAUUACUGUUCAUUGACAAUGCUCCUAGUCACCUCCGAGCUCUGAUGAAGUAUACAGUGAGAUGAAUGUUGUUUUCAUGCCUACUAACACAACAUCCAUUCUGCAGCCCUUGGAUCGAGGGAUAAUUUCUACUUUCAUGUCUUAUUAUUUAAGAAACACAUUUCAUAAGGCUAGAGCUGCCAUAGAUAGUGAUUCCUCUGAUGGAUCUAGGCAGGGUAAAUUGAAAACCUUCUGGAAAAGAGUCACCAUUCUAGAUGCCAUUAGGAACAUUCAUGAGUUAUGGGAAGAGGUCAAAAUAUCAACAUUCACAGUAAUUCGGAAGAAGUUGAUUCCAACCCUCAUGGAUGACUUCAAGGAAUUGAACACUUCAAUAGAGAAAAUAACUGCAGAUGUGGUAGAAAUAACAAGAGAACUAGAAUUAGAAGUGGAUCCUGAAGAUGUGACUGAAAUGCAGCAAUCUCAUGACAAAACUUUAAUGGAUGAGGAAUUGCUGCUUAGGGAUGAGGAAAGAAAGUGGUUUAUUGAGAUCAAACCUACUCCUGGUGAAUAUGCUGUGAAAAUUGUUGAAAUGAAAACAAAGGAUUUAGAUUAUUACAUAAACUUAGUUGAUAAAGCUGAGGCAAGGUUUGAGAGGACCGAUACCGAUUUUGAAAGAAGUUCUGCUAUAGCUAAAAUGCUGUCAAACAGCAUCAUGUGCUACAGAGAAAUUGUUUGUGAAAGGAAUAAUCAAUCGAUGUGGCAAACUUCACUGCUGUCUUAUUUUAAGAAGUUGCCACAGCCGCCCUAGCCCUCAGCAGCCACCACCCUGGUCAGCAGCCAUCAACAUUGAGGCAGGACCCUCCACCAGCAAAAAGAGUGUGAUUCGCUGAAAAGCUCAGAUGACGGUUAGCAUUUUUUAGCAAUAAAGCAUUUUAAAAUUAAGAUUUAUAUAUUGUUUUUUUAGACAUAAUGCUAUUGCACACUUAAUAGACUAUAAUAUAUAAUAAAAACACAACUUUUGUAAGUAUUUGGAAACCAAAAAAUUCAUUGACUUGCUUUAGUGUGAUAUUUGCUUUAUUGUGGUGGUCUGGAACUGAACCUGUAAUCUCCAAGGUGUACCUGUAU